UACGUAGGGGGCGAGCGUUGUCCGGAAUCAUUGGGCGUAAAGAGCGUGUAGGCGGCCAGAAAAGUCCGCUGUGAAAACUCGAGGCUCAACUUCGAGCUGUCGGUGGAAACUUUCUGGCUAGAGUCCGGAAGAGGAGAAUGGAAUUCCUGGUGUAGCGGUGAAAUGCGCAGAUAUCAGGAGGAACACCAAUGGCGAAGGCAGCUCGCUGGGACGUGACUGACGCUGAGACGCGAAAGCGUGGGGAGCAAACAGG
rnacentral:rRNA from 1 species